UGGAAGCUCAUGGCCUUAAGAGGAAGCUUAUGGAAGCUCACGACUUAAUGAGUUCAAAACGACACAAUUUAAGCCUCAUAAACAUGAAAGUCAUGGCUUGAUCCAUUUAAAUCGAAAAAAAUAUUCAACCCAAGAUAAACAAAGUUUAUACGAAGACAAGCUUAUGAUAAGUCAAUUUCAAAGUGCAUUUGGCCUUUAUGGACUGGAUUUUGAUGUUAUGAGCCAAUAAACUCAAUAGACAUUUUCAAAUUUAUGUCAACUGAUGGAUUCAUGAAAAGGAGAAUUUUGUGCCAAGCUUUAAAAGCCAUAAGAGGGAAAAAUCGAGCUUGUCAAGUCAAGGGAAAAAGUCGAUCACUGAAGAGUCCUUAAGUUGGAGGACUCUCAAGUAUUUUUGUAAAUGAUUGAAACUUAAAAUGAAAUAAAAUCAUAAAUUAAAUACGGAAUCAGCAUAAUAGAGUUAGGGUUUACAUUCAUUACACAAUAGUUUUAAAUAUCCAAUAGGGUUACGAGAUUGUCCAUUAUAAAAGAACAAACGAAAAUUAAAGAAAUAAACAAAAAGAAAACAACUGAGCACCAUAAGACGACCUUCACUAGCUUUUGAAGGAGUCCGGGUGGUGAACUAUUCACAACUCUCUUGUUGAUCGGAAUCUGAGUCUUGAUCCUCUUGAUCUGAAAUAGUUAAUGAAUGGAUGAGCUACACUAACU
rnacentral:lncRNA from 1 species